AACGAACGCUGGCGGCAGGCUUAACACAUGCAAGUCGAACGGGUGUAGCAAUACAUCAGUGGCAGACGGGUGAGUAACACGUGGGAACCUUCCUUAAGGUACGGGACAACUCAGGGAAACUUGAGCUAAUACCGUAUACGUCCGAGAGGAGAAAGAUUUAUCGCCUUUAGACGGGCCCGCGUCGGAUUAGCUAGUUGGUGGGGUAACGGCCGUACCAAGGACGACGAUCCGUAGCUGAUCUGAGAGGAUGAUCAGCCACACUGGGAC
rnacentral:rRNA from 1 species